UUCAUGCAGGUCCCCACAUCUGUACCCUAGAGUUCAGAGUGGGGAAGGAACCCUGACAGGAGGUAUUGUUACUUUCUUGAUUUUAAAAAAAUGGGACUGUUGGAUAACCCAGUGGAAAAGGGAACUGAAGAAAAUCAGGCUUCACUAAAGAACACCUGAGCAAUUGGGAUGGAAAUUAAGUUUGAGGAACAGGUAAUCAAAUUAGGCAAACAAGUUGGCUAUGGGCAGUGGCUUCAUAGAGAGACAGAUUCUCCUCAUCUCUAACAAAAGGGAGUAAAUUAGCUGUACCUACACAAACAAGUUGUCUUGCUGGUCCCUUUUCAAGAAUGAUAUAGAUUAAUACACUCUAGCAUAGAGGCCUAUUAUUCAUAUAGCUGAGAAGAACAUACCUCAUCCAUGAAAUGGGGUGGGGGAGAAGCUUGGGGAAGGUGUCCUGUAGAUAGAAUUGUUUAAAAUCCUAAAUUUGUCAAACUAAACUACUUAUAGCCCAGUUGGCUGGAUUUGAGUUGAUAUGCUCUUCAGUAGGAAAUCAUAGAGACUAGCACAGCUUUUCUGAGGCGCCACAUAGUUUGAAUAAGCAUUUGUGGUAUAAGCAAGGGGGCAUAUGAUUAAUAGCUAUAAAAUCAUGAAUGAGGGUGAGAAAGUGAAUAGCAAACUGUGACUUACCCCUUCACAUAACAACCUAACCACCAGGGGUCACCCAAUGAAAUUAAUAGGUAACAAGUUUAAGACAAAGUACUUCACACAAAGCCCAGUCAACCUGUGGAACUCAUUGCUAUAGGAUGGAGAGAAGGCCAAAACUGGGUUUAAAAAAAGUAUUACGUUCAUGGAGGAGAGUCUUCAGUCCCUACUAGCAAAGAUGGUCAGGGAAAUGAGCCAAUGCUCAAGCUGUCCCUAAACCUCCAGCUGGGAGAGCCUCCAACUGGACAACAGGAGUUGGAUCACUUGAUAAUUGCCCUGUUUUGUCUAUUCCCGCCAAAGCCUCUAGCACUGGCUGCUGUCAGAAGACAGGAUACUUGGCUAGGUGGACCAAUGUUUUGCCUAGCAAUAGGCUAUAAUUUAAAGUUUCCAAUUGUGAGCUCCAACCUCUGUCAAAUACAGCAGUAUGAUCACUUUUCAACCAGGCUGAAAAGCAACCCCUUCAUCAGUACUGUGAAAUAAUGUUUUUAUCCAGUUACCUUGCUGUGUUUAUUACAAUCUGAAAGGAAAUAGAGCAUUCACUGUCCCUGGGCUUGGGGUCCAUUUUUAAGUGGUUAACAAAAACAAAUUACACUUCAUUUUGUGUAGCACAACUAAUAUUAAAGUAUCUGUAUCCUUACCUUUUAAAAAAAAAAUCAGUUUCCUCUCAAAUAUUUAUUUAGCAAAAAAGCUCAUCUUUAUUAGAGUGGGGAGGCAAUAUAUGCUUAUAGAGAAAACAAGUAAAAAUGGUAAAGCUUACUAGAGCUGUACCUUUGUUUCACUCCAUAUGCAGGCCUCAAAAAUAAAAUGUAUUCCUGUGUAUCACUGAUGCUUUGAAUAUGAAAUCUGCUCCUGGACAUAGAAUCAGCUGAUUUUGCUUGAACCUCUUUGACGCAACACCACAACUAAUUAGCAUCAGAAGUGUCCCACUCAUUGCUCAACACAUAUCUGCCAGUAACUUGGUCCUUUAUUUAAUUCACACAUUAAAAAGUACUAUUUCACAGACAACCCCAUUGGAAAAAUGUAUCCUAGAAAAACACUACUGAAUUAAGCAGGGAAUACUAUCCCAUUGAUUAGAAGCCUAUUUAUUCCAGAUGCUAAAACAUGAUUAAACUAUAAAAUCCUCAGACUGCAACCACUUUUCAUCAGGGAGCUGAAGUGCAGUCACUUUUCCUUACAGAACUGAAAGAAGGGGAAUAUAGUCUCAUAAUUAGCUAGAGCCACAUUCUGCUGUUUACUCUCAUUAAGUAUUGCCCCACUCUACAAGUAGUCCCAGAGAUUUCAGUGAGUCUACUCAUGGUUUGAAAUACUAUUCUUUGUGAGUAAAGAUAUCAGAAUCUGGUCUCAAGGUUGCUAACAAAGUCCUAAACUUACUUCAAGUCCAGGUAACAAGAUAUCCAGGCCAAUUUCAUGUCGUUUUCCUUACUUCACCAUGACCAUAUACUUCUUGGUUGAGAAACAUAUUUUGUGGAAACUCUGAUGAUGCAGAUUACAAAGCCACCCUGUAGACUCACUCUUUGCCAACGCCCUGGCCUGCUAGAUGCUCUGCUCACCAUUCAAUGGCUGCCUUUGAAGAGUAAUAAUUGCAUUCACAUAGUGCUAUUUCAGUGUAAAAAUUAAUUACUGUAGUCUCCCAUGACCAUUCCACAAUGUGGCUAUUUUAGUGAAUGUACUUAUUUUACUGAUCAUCUUAGUUCCAAAAAAGGCCAAAACAAAAGUCACCAACACUUCAACAUUCCAUGUUCAUAUUUUAUACAUGCUCAAUAAACUUACAAAUAAAUAAUGUAUAGGCCUCGGAACUAAAACCUGUAAGUACAUUUGUUUAAUAUCAGCUGAAGAAUGGGAAUUAAAAAUUAUUUAAUUUUUUCCAUCUGGAUAACUUUGACUUCAGCCAUUAAAUAUGAUGGGCAUAUGAACUGUUUUGUUAUCAUAUUUGGAGAUGAGGCCCAAUCAUGCAUCACUGGGAGUCAAAACAUAGGUGUAAUUAAGGGUAACAUUUGGUUCUUUGUAUCUACAACCACAUUCUACAUUUGGUUAUUAUGGAGAAAGCUCUCAGGCUGUAGUGAUCAGUCUGAUUAGUUAGUAUGUGUUUUUUACAUUGCUAAGAACUAAUGAUUGGUAAAUUCAAUGGGAGUUCUAUUCAAUAAAUAACCCCAGACUUUAGUCCUUUCUGAAUGGCUGGAAGGUUCAUUGAGUACAUAUUACCUUGAUUCAAAGGAUCCAUUUGAAAUUUUAUAUUUUAACUACACGAUAGUUUCCAUACUUUAGCUAAGCAAAAUUAGGGUAAAGUGUGUUUUGCUUAUAAAUCAAUUUCCUUGUAUGGUCUUGAGUACUAAUAUAGCAUAUUGCAAAUAAGUUACAAUUUACUGAUGAUAUUCUGCCAAGAACUAUUUAACAUUUAAAAAACUACUCUUACACUGUCUACAUAGUGUGAUGGUGUCAACAGCAUCAAAGUACAUGAUCCUGUGUUGAAGCUUUGAGCAUCCAGUGUUGUAGAACAUGCAAGGUAAGCAUGGAGCUGAGAGAAUCCAAUGGACCGAUUGAAAUAAUUUGGAAUGUUCACUUGUGAUAGGCCCUGGCAGCAGGAAAUUGAGGACACAAAACUACAGAUUUUUUUAAAAAGCAAAGAGUCACACGUGUGGUAUUUCCCAAUAAAUUGGUGUAGUGGGUUUUCCUGGAUUAAGGAGGAAAACUAUUCUUCCUCUUUUUGCCAUAGUGCUGUAGUCCCUUUUGUGCCUGUUCAUAAGAACACAUUUUCAAAUCUAAACUCUUCCUCCCUUUUUGUAUCAAUGAUCCACUUAAUUAACUGGUGCACUUCUGUGCUAAUAACCACUUUUUAAGACAGCUUUUAAGCAGUAAUAAAUCUCACAAUAUAGCAACUCAGUUUAAGGUAUCAAAUGAUGAUACGGCUGCUUCACACAUCAUAAGGUCACAGACUCCAUGUUAAAGUCAUUGUGAAGUCAUUACUUGAAACUAGUUGUACAGAAAUCAGAUAAAUCCAGUCUCAAGCCAACACCUAAACUGAUUACAUCAUGUCUUUCUGUGCCAGGUGAGUAACUUUGUUUCUUUUGGUGAAAUUUGGUACAAUUUAGUUUAUAAUAAAAUAGGUUUACACUCAAAUUUAUAUUAGAGUCAUUAUGUAUUCAAAUAAAAUACUGUGUGUUCUUUUAAAAUAUUUAUCUGUGAAUAUAAAUAAGUACUUUGUUAUGCACAAAAAUUAAAAUAUAUUUGAAAUAGCAUGUGUGUGAAUUAUUUUACAUAAAAUAAUUGAACCUGUAUCAUUAUUUGAUCUAUUUUAUUUUUCUUACUCUCAGAGACCAUCUUUAAUUUCUACACCAACAGUCUUUUCAGACCAUAAAAUGGACAACAAAUCAAAAGUGGAUCUUACUGAUCUAGGGAGGAGGAACUUUCUGAUGUACCAAAAUGUGACAAAUACAAGGAACAUGCAAGCCGAAGUCAUGAAAGCUAACCUCGUUUCCACUUCAGGUUGUGGUCCUGUAAUGGACAGAAAACUACUCAACUACAUCAAAGUCAUAGAUUCCAUCAAACCGUGGAGGACUGCUGGGAAGCCCUUUGUGUGCGACCGAUUCAGUCUCUGGGCUAGUUAGAGGAAAGGACAGAAGAAAAUGAAGCCCAAACAGAUAAUCGCAGCUACUGUGUCCUUCCUGUUUCACUCACCUGCCAGUACAAAUCCAGGGUGCCUUCCUAGGUGUUGUCUACUGUAGCUUCUUUCCUUCAUCUGCCAUGAAAAACAUUCAGUCAAUGAGAAGGAGUGUUGAUUUUUACUUCUUACAGUACCUUUUAAAAAUUAACCAUAAGAAUAUUUAAUAUAGAAAGAUAUACAGCAAAGAGUAAUUAGAUUGGUGUGACACAACUGUCCUAUAUCUGCAGUCUCCCUUCCAUGCCUGUUGGGGAAUUGUUAUAAUUUUUAAUGUGAGCCAAAGUAUCUUACAUUUUAUACAGCACCUUUCAUCCUAAAGUGCUGCCCAAACAGUAUACAGAAUACUCCACUUUAAUGAUAUCACUUACUUGCAUAUCCCGCAUAUCCAUGUAAGGGUUCUUCACUGGCCCAGUUGGAUUCCUUGUAUUAUUCAACUUAGCUAUAUUCACCUAGCUGUAUUCAAAACUGAGGUCCAAAUGCUGCUUGUUACAAUGUAAUCACUUUGGAUGACUGAACAAUCAGGAUACUAGUCAAACUGCACCUAUUUAUCCAUUAUGCUCUUAAAGACGUGACAGUUCAUAUGCAUGACAGAAUGGGUGAAAAGCUAUAUCUCCUGUUAGCACAGCAUCUUGCAUGUGCAGUGGAUGGUCAUAAAAAAAAGCCCUGCUUCUAGUAUCACAGUCUAUAUAGACGCUCAAGCCCUCUCCUUACAUUAUACAUGGAUGCAUGGAACUUCCUGUCAUUCCACGUAAAUAUCUAGUGGAGGAACAAGACUUCCAUACUGCCAAGUGGCGCAAGAUACUAGAGCAGUUAUAGUGAUACAGCAACUGGGAGUUCAAAUUUUAUUAGACCCAAGCUUAAAUCCUUAACUUUUUUUAAAGAUUGAUUUGUGUGUAUGUUGAGACUAGGAUAAAAGGAUUUUUUUUUAAAUGUAGAUCCAGGGAAUCUGAGUAUUUCUAAACUGGGGCACCAAAUACUGAGGUCCGUGUUUAAAAUGUACUCACUCCAGCAAUACUUCUUACUGCAGUCCUCACUCCAGCUACACUCCAGUUGAAAUCAAGGAUCUCAGGAUUCAGCCUCUACCCUUAGAGCACUAAGAAUAUGCACAUCUUUUACAUUUUAAAAGUUGCACAUUUGUUAUGUAUAAACAACAACAAUGAAUACCAGUACUAUCUGUAAUACCGGAAAUGGACAAGUACAAGGGAGGAUGGAAGAUGAUAUGGCAAAAAAUAUGAUGCUUUCCCUGAAAAAGAACCAAAUGCACUUAAACUAU